UACGUAGGGUGCAAGCGUUGUCCGGAAUUAUUGGGCGUAAAGAGCUUGUAGGCGGUUUGUCGCGUCUGCUGUGAAAUUUCGGGGCUCAACCCCGAACUUGCAGUGGGUACGGGCAGACUAGAGUGUGGUAGGGGAGACUGGAAUUCCAGGUGUAGCGGUGAAAUGCGCAGAUAUCAGGAGGAACACCGAUGGCGAAGGCAGGUCUCUGGGCCAUAACUGACGCUGAGAAGCGAAAGCAUGGGGAGCGAACAGG
rnacentral:rRNA from 1 species